rnacentral:tRNA from 1 species
GCCGGGGCUGGUCGGUGAGGGUGGCGAGGGAGCGUUCGGCGCUCUUGACGUCGGGGCCCGCGACGGUCGCGGCGAUCGCGUCGCGGGCGGCGGCGCC